rnacentral:lncRNA from 10 species
CUUUUAUUGGUCCAUUUGAAAGGCCUGUGGGCACGCGCCGCCCGCAGCCUUAAAGGGGCCGCGCGCAGCCGUGUUUCCCUCUGGACCAGACGCCGCCUGCACGGGUGGGGACGCUGGUCGCUGCCGGGGGCAAGUCUGCCGACUCCAGAAAGAAAGGCGAAAGAAUAGAUUGUGAAGCUAAGUGCUGUGAGGGAAACCAGAGGCAGCUGAGAUGUCGUGGAAGUAACAGCGAAUGAAGCCAGGAUGCUGGAUUCUGACCUUGGAACUGUUCUGAAGACACAGGAUCUCAUUAUGUUACCCAGGAUGAUCUCAAACCCAUGGACUCAAGCAAUUCUCCUGCAUCAGCCUCCCAAAGUGCUGGGAUUACAGGUAUGAGCCACCACACCCAGCUGACUAUAAUAUAUAUAUGUAUAUAAAAGGAGGCCAGGGGCAGUGGCUCAUGCCUAUAAUCCCAGCACUUUGAGAGGCCGAGGCAGGUGGAUCACCUGAGGUCAGGAGUUC